rnacentral:siRNA from 1 species
AUCGUAGUAAGCGGUGUUCGUAGC